GACGAACGCUGGCGGCGUGCUUAACACAUGCAAGUCGAGCGGAGCGGCGAACGGGUGAGUAACGCGUGAGUAACUGCCCCCCUCUCUGGGAUAACAGUUGGAAACGGCUGCUAAUACCGGAUAGUGGGGGAUGACUCGCGUCCUAUCAGCUUGUUGGUGGGGUAUUGGCCUACCAAGGCGACGACGGGUAGCCGGCCUGAGAGGGGGACCGGCCACAGUGGUCUGAGAUACGGCCCAAACUCAUACGUGAGGCAGCAGCGGAGAAUAUGGCACAAUGGGGGAAUCCCUGAUGCAGCAACCCGCGUGUGGGAUGACGGCCCUGGGGUUGUCUACCGCUUUGAGCUAUGCCGCGGUAGUGGCACAAGAAGCACCGGCUAACUACGUGCCAGCAGCCGCGGUAAUAC
rnacentral:rRNA from 1 species